rnacentral:misc_RNA from 1 species
UACGUAGGGUGCAAGCGUUAUCCGGAUUUACUGGGCGUAAAGUGUAGCGUAGGCGACCUUAUAAGUCAUAUUUGAAAGCGCGAGGCUCAACCUCGUCUCUGGAUGUGAUACUGUAAGGAUUGAAGGAGAGAGGGGUACCUGGAACUCGUGGUGUAGUAGUGAAAUGCGUUGAUAUCACGAGGAACACCAAAGGCGAAGGCAGGGUACUGGCUCUUUUUUGACGCUGAGGCACGAAAGCUCGGGGAGCGAAGCAG